ensembl:lncRNA
GCUUAAUAAAUUUAUUAGAUUUGCCAUAAAAAUGAAGAAAACAUAAGAGGUUGUUUAAAAUUAAUAAUAUAUUAUCAUGUGUUAGGUAAGUAAUAAACCGAAUUGCAUUACUUACAAAAGUAAGUGACAAAAUUAAGUAAGUUUCUAUACCCAGAUUUUAGCCAGAGAAGUCAUAAAUGAAUGAAACAUAACAUUCAACCACUAAAACUAAUUUUUCUGUUGUAUUUACAGGGAUGGCAGUAAAUAAAUGUAAUUUUGCAUCUUAAAAAAUAAUAUCAUGCAUUAGUAUUUUUUACAGUAAAUUAAUUGAUAAUGACAUUAAUUAUGUUUCACCAUUAAAAUAUUUCAAUUUCAGAGGUUGAGCAUAUUAGUAACUCAUCCUUUCUGGUAAUAACCAGUAUUCUUAAUUUAGGCCCUACAUUGGAUAUAAAAAAUUUGUUAAGCACUGUACAUUCACCUUUGCUUAAGUGCAUUUGCAGGAGACUUCUCAAAACCUGCUCAACUAACGAUAAAAGGUUUUGAUGAAUAGAUACCAGUAGAAAUAUACAGGAAAACUUGAGUGACUCUGUCUUUUAAGAGGAACUCCUUUCUCAAUGUGACUGCUGCAAAGCAAGUGAAAUAUGCUGACCGCCAAAACUGGAAAGUGAUCACAUAAAAAUCAUGUUGCAAUAACAUGUAUUCGAACACUUUGAGCUCUGCCAGUUGACCUUUUUUAACAGUCUGUCUGAAAUAGCAGUGGGAAGUUCACAGGAUCAGAUGUUCCAGGACUCAGUCCAGUCACAGGGUUAUUCGAGGAUCAUUCCUCAUUCAAGAUGGGAAUGCAAAGCAAAAUAUCACACAAGAAAAGAAAGGCAAUCCAUAUUUGUACCAAUCUCAUAAUUUAUUUAAAUAUAUUUCAUUUUUAAAUAUAGCUAUGGUAUAUAUAUAUUUAUAUAUAUAUAUGUAGGACACCCCUUUGGGAAACGCCAGUCAUGUUAAUUUAUGGUACACAGGUGACUUCUUUUUAUGUUUCGCUUUACAGCGUGAAGAUAUUGCUCCUGCUUUUAAAGAUGGCCUACAUUAUGUACAAUGUUACCUUUUGAUGACUCAAAUACAUAAAUAUACUCUGUACUGCACUCUACCAAAAUCCAACAACCACUUGUUUUGUUUUAUUUUUUUUUUAUCUUUUUCACAAAGAUGCAAAGAAAAAUUCAUGCAAUUAAUAAUUUAAUCACAGUUCUUUCUCAGUAUGAGCACAAGUGGCUGAAACUAUGCACUGACUGCCAGCUGGAGGUCUGUGAAAACUUGUCUGUGUAGAAGGUAGUACAGGCAGGGUUGAGCAUAUUUGGAUUUCGCUCUUUUCUUGAGCAAAAUAAAUGAAGAAAAAUAUGUUUUUGUUUUGUUUUAGCAACAUCUUUUUUGGAUCCCAGCAUGAAGAGGCCCCAGGUUGGUGUGUCUCAGCCGCUUGUUUCUUUAUCUUCUCCACUCUUCAGUUUCACUGUCUUUAUCCUGGUCUGGGUUUUGUUGCCUGGGUUGCUCCCCCAUGUGGUGACAGCUAACCAUCAAGGCCCAGCCUGAGUGGUGGGUGGCACCCAUCCACGCCUUAGCAGAAGGAGACCUCAGUGAAUGACAAUACUGUGCCUAGUGUCAGUCGGGGCUGGUCAGAUUUAGGCUUCCUUACUGUCCAAGGCACUUUUUUCCCAAGUUUUUUUUUCUUCUGAAGGACUCGUGUGUGACUUUGACCUGUAACAAAGAAGACAUGAUAUUAAGGACCAACUUGAAAACACCUGAAAAAUUCUCCCCUCUCCAGAAAGAAUCACAAAUAAUAAGAAAUUUGAUACUUUGCUCUCGCUGUGCCACUGUUAGGGCGUGUAUGUGUGGACACAGCAAGCAUAUCACCACGGAGAACAAACGUCUGAGUAGUGCCUCAAAACAACAUAACCUUUACACUAUAACCAUAACCGGAGAGGUUUUUGACUCUGAAUGACACUGAUAAUUCGUGCAGUGCAAACAUUUAAUUUAUUGUUACUUAAAUAGGAAUCACACAACAUAACAAAUCCACAACAAGGUAAUAUCCAGAAUCUAGUCUUUUACUUAAGCAAAAGUAUUAUUAGCAGUACUGAUGAUUUAGUGUAGUGAGCAUUCAAGUGCAUGAUUAC